rfam:Gossypium raimondii chromosome 13, whole genome shotgun sequence.
UGGAGUAUAGCCAAGUGGUAAGGCAUCGAUUUUUGGUACCGACAUGUAAAGGUUUGAAUCCUUUUACUCUAG